rnacentral:lncRNA from 1 species
CCGCGAGCGGACGCGGCAGCGCCUCUGUCUCGCUUUUUCUUAUUUUUCCCCCCUUUCCCCUUUCUUUUUUUUUUUUUCUUUUCUUUUCUCCCCUCCCCCCCUUUCACCAUUUCCCCUCGGAGGCGCUUUCCCCGGGCAGGGGCAGAGCCGGUCUCACCCCCCGCCUCUCCCCGGCCCCCGCCGCCCUAUGGCGAGAGGGAGCCCCCUCCCAACCCGGGCUCGAGCGGCGGCGGCCUCAGGCCGGGGGUCAUCAUGGAACUAAUUCGCUGACCGACCCAGCGGCCGCAGCCGUGCGUCCCGCUCGAGCGCCAGCGCCCGCGCCCGCGCCCCCCGAUCCGCUUCCCCUUUCUCCCUCCUCAGUUGGCCGAGUCGUCCCGCGCGCACCGCCUCCGCGCGCCUAUGAGAAUGAGGUGGUAACGGGCCCCCGGAUGACCCCGCGUCACCACUGUGAGGCCUACAGCUCUGCCGGGGAGGAGGAGGAGGAGGAAGAGGAGGAGAAGGUAGCUACAGCAAGCUGGGUAGCAGGCAGAUCCAAAGGAUAUCAUGAAGUUUCCAGGGCCUUUGGAAAACCAGAGAUUGUCUUUCCUGUUGGAAAAGGCAAUCACUAGGGAAGCACAGAUGUGGAAAGUGAAUGUGCGGAAAAUGCCUUCAAAUCAGAAUGUUUCUCCAUCCCAGAGAGAUGAAGUAAUUCAAUGGCUGGCCAAACUCAAGUACCAAUUCAACCUUUACCCAGAAACAUUUGCUCUGGCUAGCAGUCUUUUGGAUAGGUUUUUAGCUACCGUAAAGUUCCAUGCCAUUGCAGUGUCAACUAGGCCUCAGUUACUUUUCAGUUUGCCCAAAUUGAGCCCAUCUCAACAUUUGGCAGUCCUUACCAAGCAACUACUUCACUGUAUGGCCUGCAACCAACUUCUGCAAUUCAGAGGAUCCAUGCUUGCUCUGGCCAUGGUUAGUCUGGAAAUGGAGAAACUCAUUCCUGAUUGGCUUUCUCUUACAAUUGAACUGCUUCAGAAAGCACAGAUGGAUAGCUCCCAGUUGAUCCAUUGUCGGGAGCUUGUGGCACAUCACCUUUCUACUCUGCAGUCUUCCCUGCCUCUGAAUUCCGUUUAUGUCUACCGUCCCCUCAAGCACACCCUGGUGACCUGUGACAAAGGAGUGUUCAGAUUACAUCCCUCCUCUGUCCCAGGCCCAGACUUCUCCAAGGACAACAGCAAGCCAGAAGUGCCAGUCAGAGGUACAGCAGCCUUUUACCAUCAUCUCCCAGCUGCCAGUGGGUGCAAGCAGACCUCUACUAAACGCAAAGUAGAGGAAAUGGAAGUGGAUGACUUCUAUGAUGGAAUCAAACGGCUCUAUAAUGAAGAUAAUGUCUCAGAAAAUGUGGGUUCUGUGUGUGGCACUGAUUUAUCAAGACAAGAGGGACAUGCUUCCCCUUGUCCACCUUUGCAGCCUGUUUCUGUCAUGUAGUUUCAACAAGUGCUACCUUUGAGUGUAAACUAAGGUAGACUACUUUGGGAAUGAGAACAUGCAAAAUCAGGAAAGGCUGUAGAAGGAAAUAUACCUUAACAGGCUGAUUUGGAGUGAGCC